rnacentral:rRNA from 1 species
GAUGAACGCUAGCGGGAGGCCUAACACAUGCAAGCCGAGCGGUAUUUGUCUUUCGGGACAGAGAGAGCGGCGUACGGGUGCGGAACACGUGUGCAACCUGCCUUUAUCUGGGGGAUAGCCUUUCGAAAGGAAGAUUAAUACCCCAUAAUAUAUUGAUUCGCAUGGAUUGAUAUUGAAAACUCCGGUGGAUAGAGAUGGGCACGCGCAAGAUUAGAUAGAUGGUGAGGUAACGGCUCACCAAGUCAGUGAUCUUUAGGGGGCCUGAGAGGGUGAUCCCCCACACUGGUACUGAGACACGGACCAGACUCCUACGGGAGGCAGCGGUGAGGAAUAUUGGACAAUGGGUGAAAGCCUGAUCCAGCCAUCCCGCGUGAAGGACGACGGUUCUAUGGAUUGUAAACUUCUUUUAUAUAGGGAUAAACCUACUUACGUGUAAGUAGCUGAAGGUACUAUAUGAAUAAGCACCGGCUAACUCCGUGCCAGCCGCCGCGGUAA